rnacentral:sRNA from 1 species
UACUGUUAUCCUAGGUAAAGAUUAACUGAUUCCUCUAGAAAUAGAACAUUUGAGUUGCUUUUUAAAAAAUUUGUUGGAUCUCAAUUUUCUGUAUAUGAAAUUUUUGACAGCUCGAGAUGUCUUUUUAAUGCUAAAGAAGCCAAACUAUAAGAAGCUAGAACUUCAAGUAUAUGCAACCUUCUUUGAAAUUUAUAGUGGAAAGGUGUUUGACUUGCUAAACAGGAAAACAAAAUUAAGAGUUCUAGAAGAUGGAAAACAGCAGGUUCAAGUGGUGGGAUUACAGGAACGGGAG